rnacentral:rRNA from 1 species
UAAGGAAUAUUGGACAAUGGGCGGAAGCCUGAUCCAGCCAUCCCGCGUGUAGGAAGACUGCCCUAUGGGUUGUAAACUACUUUUACUAGGGAAGAAGAGCAUCUAUUCAUAGGUGUGUGACGGUACCUAGAGAAUAAGCACCGGCUAACUCCGUGCCAGCAGCCGCGGUAAUACGGAGGGUGCGAGCGUUAUCCGGAAUUACUGGGUUUAAAGGGUGCGUAGGUUGCACGAUAAGUCAGAGGUGAAAGGCACGAGCUUAACUGGUGAAUUGCCUUUGAAACUGUUGUGCUUGAAUUAAGUUGAGGUUAGCGGAAUGUGACAUGUAGCGGUGAAAUGCAUAGAUAUGUCAUAGAACACCAAUUGCGUAGGCAGCUAGCUAGGCUUAUAUUGACGCUGAGGCACGAAAGCGUGGGGAGCGAACAGGAUUAGAUACCCCUGUAGUCC